UCCUGCUCGGCCACGAGAAGAAGGAACGAAGGGGAUGACGCUGGCCUGCGGGUCCCGAUAGUCGGUGAUAGGAGAGAGAGAGAGAGAGAGAGAGAGAGAGAGAGAGAGAGAGAGAGAGGAGGGAGGUGCACGUGGUUUGGGCCAAAGCUGGGCCGCGGCCGCUGUCUACGCGCUGGGAGGGAAACUGGGCCGCGUGAGGGGAGCUGGGGUGGUUUGGGCCGGGGGGGACAAGCCAGGGGCCUGGCUGGGGUUUUCUCUUUUUUUUUAUUUUGUUUCCAAAGCCU
rnacentral:lncRNA from 1 species